GUCGAGCGGUAACAGGGGAAGCUUGCUUCCCGCUGACGAGCGGCGGACGGGUGAGUAAUGCUUAGGAAUCUGCCCAGUAGUGGGGGAUAGCCCGGGGAAACCCGGAUUAAUACCGCAUACGUCCUACGGGAGAAAGCAGGGGAUCUUCGGACCUUGCGCUAUUGGAUGAGCCUAAGUCGGAUUAGCUAGUUGGUGGGGUAAAGGCCUACCAAGGCGACGAUCCGUAGCUGGUCUGAGAGGAUGAUCAGCCACAUCGGGACUGAGACACGGCCCGAACUCCUACGGGAGGCAGCAGUGGGGAAUAUUGGACAAUGGGGGCAACCCUGAUCCAGCCAUGCCGCGUGUGUGAAGAAGGCUUUCGGGUUGUAAAGCACUUUCAGUAGGGAGGAAAACCUUAUGGCUAAUACCCAUGAGGCUUGACGUUACCUACAGAAGAAGCACCGGCUAACUCCGUGCCAGCAGCCGCGGUAAUACGGAGGGUGCAAGCGUUAAUCGGAAUUACUGGGCGUAAAGCGCGCGUAGGUGGUUUGGUAAGCGAGAUGUGAAAGCCCCGGGCUUAACCUGGGAACGGCAUUUCGAACUGUCAGACUAGAGUGUGGUAGA
rnacentral:rRNA from 2 species